UUCUGCACACGCCACAGUCAGUGUGAACUGGAGUGACUUGACACAACACUGGCCAAACAAGGUAGCUACAAACAAAACAAAAAGUUAAAUGGUUCCUGUCUGCCGUGAAGCGUUCAUCCAUGUAUACGGGUGAUACAGAAACUGAUUCCACCAACAUGCCCUUCCAACCCCUAGCUCUGCACAAGGUGAAGGCCAAACCAUUGCAACUAGAGGAUGAGGUCGGGAGGAGGAGAGAUGGAGAGAGAACAAUGAGGCGCUCUCAUUUAAAGACUGGUGUUAUUUAUUCUACAUUCUUUAAAAAAGGGGUCCAAAAGGGUUCUUCGUCUAUCUCCAUAAGAGAACCCUUUUUGGUCCAGGUAAAACCCUUUGUCACGUCCUGACCAGUAAAUGUCAGGGAUUUCUUCGUCGUCAGACGAUAUGGCGAAAUCAUCGUCGGAAAAUGAGGACCAAUAUGCAGCAGAGUUGAGAUAGUUCAUUUUUGAACAUUUAAUAAACUCAAAAAACAAACAUACAAAAAUAACAAACCGAACUCACGAUUUACCGACAGUCCUGUUAGGCUCACUCACGCUAAACAAGAAACAAUCUCCCACAAACACACAGACAAACACACCCAACUAAUAUAGGACUUCCAAUCAAAGGCAACACCACACAGCUGCCUUCAAUUGGAAGUCCACCCCAAUUAACUCUACAUAGAAACAGACUACCUAGACUAAACAUAGAAUUACAUAAACAUAGAUCAUAAACCUAAAACCCGGAAAUACUAAAUCAAACGCCCUUUUACCAAAACACCACCCCGAACCACAUAAAACAAAUACCCUCUGCCACGUCCUGACCAAACUACAAUAACAAUUAACCCUUAUACUGGCCAGGACGUGACAGUAAAGGUGGUCAUUUGUCAUUGUAGUAUGGUCAGGGCGUGGCAAGGGGUGUUUGUUUUGUGUGUUUAUAAUUUUUUUGGUUCUAGGGGAUUUUGGUUCUAGUUUUCUAUUUCUUUGUUUCAUUUUCCACGUUUGGCCGAGUAUGGUUUCCAAUCAGAGGCAG
rnacentral:lncRNA from 1 species